GGGCGGCUGCUAUAAUGCAGUCGACGAACUCUGGUAUUGAUUGGUGCUUGCAUCAUGAUUUACAUUUGAGUGAGUGGCGAACUGGUGAGUAACACGUGGGAAACCUGCCCAGAAGCGGGGGAUAACACCUGGAAACAGAUGCUAAUACCGCAUAACAACUUGGACCGCAUGGUCCGAGUUUGAAAGAUGGCUUCGGCUAUCACUUUUGGAUGGUCCCGCGGCGUAUUAGCUAGAUGGUGGGGUAACGGCUCACCAUGGCAAUGAUACGUAGCCGACCUGAGAGGGUAAUCGGCCACAUUGGGACUGAGACACGGCCCAAACUCCUACGGGAGGCAGCAGUAGGGAAUCUUCCACAAUGGACGAAAGUCUGAUGGAGCAACGCCGCGUGAGUGAAGAAGGGUUUCGGCUCGUAAAACUCUGUUGUUAAAGAAGAACAUAUCUGAGAGUAACUGUUCAGGUAUUGACGGUAUUUAACCAGAAAGCCACGGCUAACUACGUGCCAGCAGCCGCGGUAAUACGUAGGUGGCAAGCGUUGUCCGGAUUUAUUGGGCGUAAAGCGAGCGCAGGCGGUUUUUUAAGUCUGAUGUGAAAGCCUUCGGCUCAACCGAAGAAGUGCAUCGGAAACUGGGAAACUUGAGUGCAGAAGAGGACAGUGGAACUCCAUGUGUAGCGGUGAAAUGCGUAGAUAUAUGGAAGAACACCAGUGGCGAAGGCGGCUGUCUGGUCUGUAACUGACGCUGAGGCUCGAAAGUAUGGGUAGCAAACAGGAUUAGAUACCCUGGUAGUCCAUACCGUAAACGAUGAAUGCUAAGUGUUGGAGGGUUUCCGCCCUUCAGUGCUGCAGCUAACGCAUUAAGCAUUCCGCCUGGGGAGUACGGCCGCAAGGCUGAAACUCAAAGGAAUUGACGGGGGCCCGCACAAGCGGUGGAGCAUGUGGUUUAAUUCGAAGCUACGCGAAGAACCUUACCAGGUCUUGACAUACUAUGCAAAUCUAAGAGAUUAGACGUUCCCUUCGGGGACAUGGAUACAGGUGGUGCAUGGUUGUCGUCAGCUCGUGUCGUGAGAUGUUGGGUUAAGUCCCGCAACGAGCGCAACCCUUAUUAUCAGUUGCCAGCAUUAAGUUGGGCACUCUGGUGAGACUGCCGGUGACAAACCGGAGGAAGGUGGGGAUGACGUCAAAUCAUCAUGCCCCUUAUGACCUGGGCUACACACGUGCUACAAUGGAUGGUACAACGAGUUGCGAACUCGCGAGAGUAAGCUAAUCUCUUAAAGCCAUUCUCAGUUCGGAUUGUAGGCUGCAACUCGCCUACAUGAAGUCGGAAUCGCUAGUAAUCGCGGAUCAGCAUGCCGCGGUGAAUACGUUCCCGGGCCUUGUACACACCGCCCGUCACACCAUGAGAGUUUGUAACACCCAAAGUCGGUGGGGUAACCUUUUAGGA
rnacentral:rRNA from 1 species